GACGAACGCUGGCGGCGUGCUUAACACAUGCAAGUCGAACGGAAAGGCCUCUUUCGGGGGGUACUCGAGUGGCGAACGGGUGAGUAACACGUGAGUAACCUGCCCUUGACUUUGGGAUAACUUCAGGAAACUGGGGCUAAUACCGGAUAGGAGCUCCUGCUGCAUGGUGGGGGUUGGAAAGUUUCGGCGGUUGGGGAUGGACUCGCGGCUUAUCAGCUUGUUGGUGGGGUAGUGGCUUACCAAGGCUUUGACGGGUAGCCGGCCCGAGAGGGUGACCGGCCACAUUGGGACUGAGAUACGGCCCAGACUCCUACGGGAGGCAGCAGUGGGGAAUAUUGCACAAUGGGUGGAAGCCUGAUGCAGCAACGCCGUGUGCGGGAUGACGGCCUUCGGGUUGUAAACCGCUUUCGCUCAUGACGAAGCUUUGUGUGACGGUAGUGGGUAAAGAAGCACCGGCUAACUACGUG
rnacentral:rRNA from 1 species